UUUAUACUCCCUCCGUCCGAAAAUACUUGUCAUCAAAAUGGAUAAAAAGGGAUGUAUCUAGAACUAAAAUAUGUCUAGAUACAUCCCCUUUUAUUCAUCUUGAUGACAAGUAUUUCCGGGCGGAGGGAGUAUAUA
rnacentral:pre_miRNA from 1 species